rnacentral:lncRNA from 1 species
GCGUGAGACAGAUAAUUCCAGGUGCAGGUGCAAAUGACACUGCAAGACUAGAAGAUCUAAGCCUUAUGAGGCUGAGCAAGUGUAACCACAAUGUCUCAAUGGGGCUGUUUGGCUCUGGCCUAAAGGUUGGAAGAGCUGUAUCUCUGUCUUGAAGAGAAAAAACAAGCUUUGGAAAUGAUGCUUUAUGCCUGCGCAGGUGAGUUUGCUCUUUUGCAAGGUUUAUUUUUCAGAUCACAGGAAAGGGAUUUGAGUGCUA